UGGCCUGGGGUUGCUGAUAGCCAUUCUACCUCCACAUGGAACUAGAAAAUAAACCACCACAGAAAAAGCAGAAAUGCAAAAUGAACUAGGUCGUGUCCGAAUGACGUUGUUUGACCCCUGACUCCAGCCUGACCCGGACUUUUCAAUUCCUUGAGCUAAUACAUUCCCCCUUCUUGCUGAAGUCAUGCCCUUUAGGUACGGUGCUGAGUACCCAUGAACCUUAUCUCUGAUCACCACUGCAACUCACUCUCACAGCAUGGAUCAGCAAGUGGGGCUCAGAGAAGUCUGUGAGCAGCCACGUUGUGAGCAGUCCUAAGGAAAGGCCCAAAUAGCAAGAAGUAGAAACUUCCUGACAACAGCCAGGUGAGUAAGCUUGGAAGUGAAUCCUCCAGUUUCAGUCCAGAG